ACCUGACAUUGUUUUGACAAUCUGGUAGGAAACCAAUUUAUUAGUGCACAAAACAAUAUGGUCAUGAAGAAGCAGAGGAUAGCAAAAAUUAUGAAUUCCUAAUCUGUGUCUUUAAGAUUUUAGCUGCGGCCAUCAGCACUAAAGGUAUCAUUAGAGUUCACUUCCCUGUCAGGUUUCAUUGUUUGUGAUAGUGUAUUCAGAGCACGUCGAGGGCUCUAUCUGUUGAUGCAGUGAGUACUGUGGGCAGAAUAUGUGCAGAAGUAUGCACAUCAAAGUAGGAUAGAGCAGCAGGUUAUAGCUAAUUGACCUGGGAAUGAACCAACGCCCUAAAGCACUCUGUUGCUCUGUAGGAAAAUAACUACCACCACUGUCAGCUAUAAUUACUCAAAAGUCUAAUUAUUGAUACUGAAAAUGGAAAUUAUAUGACAAGAAAAUGCAAAACCUAGAGGAAUUGUUCUAACCUAACAGAUGCAUGCUCUGAACUAAUUCUUGUUGCCCCUCUGCUACUCGUGAUCAGUUUAUUUUUUCAGGAUAUGGACAAGAGCUAUCUGAUGUGCUGCCGAUUUAAAAGAAGCCUAAGGUUGAGGGUACACAUUUGAGUUGAUCAGGUUUUGGAGAAGAAAAAGCUUCAGGUAAAGUUUUUUCUGGUUUCUGCUUGAUCGAGAUAGAAGAUGGUAGCAGUAAGCAGUAUGCUACUAGAUAAGAACAGAGCCAAGCAAAGAGCCAAGUUGCUUCUUGCUGUGUGCGUUGCUUGAGAGAGUUCCUAAGUUGCCAGCAAUGCCCAUGUGUUGCCCCGACACUGAAUUUUGGCUAAUUUAUGCAUGUGGUUGUGUAAUCAACAUAAUAACUGUCCUUUGUGUGAAACAAAUAUUUCUCAGUUUGGACUAUGGAUCAUGUGUUGUUUGAUGUA